GGGGGGGGGGGGGGGGGGGGGGGGGGGGGGGAGGUGGAGGGGGGGGGCGGGGAGCUGGCGCCGCUGGCGGUAGCGGGGGACGGGGGGGUGACGCGUGGAUAAGCUACCUAUAAGACUGGGAGAAGUUCGGGCAGCCGGGGCUAAGACCGGAUAAUAUGGUGAACCGCAUUGUUCCAUAGGUAAAGACGGUGUUGCUGUCACUGCUAGAUGGCUCCGCGCCGCAUUAGCUAGUUGGUAAGGUAACGGCUUACCAAGGCAACGAUGCGUAGCCGACCUGAGAGGGUGAUCGGCCAAACUGUAACGGAGACACGGUCCAGACUCCUACGGGAGGCAGCAGUAGGGAAUCUUCCGCAAUGGGCGAAAGCCUGACGGAGCAACGCCGCGUGAGUGAUGAAGGUCUUCGGAUCGUAAAACUCUGUUAUUAGGGAAGAACAAAUGUGUAAGUAACUAUGCACGUCUUGACGGUACCUAAUCAGAAAGCCACGGCUAACUACGUG
rnacentral:rRNA from 1 species